GAGGAAGGUGGGGACGACGUCAAGUCAUCAUGGCCCUUACGUCCAGGGCUGCACACGUGCUACAAUGGUUGGUACAAUGGGUCGCCACCCAGCGAUGGGGCGCAAAUCUAUAAAACCAAUCUCAGUUCGGAUCGGAGUCUGCAACUCGACUCCGUGAAGUUGGAAUCGCUAGUAAUCGCGUAUCAGCAAUGACGCGGUGAAUACGUUCCCGGGCCUUGUACACACCGCCCGUCACACCAUGGAAGUUGGCC
rnacentral:rRNA from 1 species